rnacentral:rRNA from 1 species
GACCAGACUCCUACGGGAGGCAGCAGUGGGGGAUAUUGGACAAUGGGGGGAACCCUGAUCCAGCGAUGCCGCGUGAGGGAAGAAGGUUUUCGGAUUGUAAACCUCUGUGGACAGGGACGAUAAUGACGGUACCUGUCAAGAAAGCCACGGCUAACUACGUGCCAGCAGCCGCGGUAAUACGUAGGUGGCGAGCGUCGUCCGGAAUUACUGGGUGUAAAGGGAGCGUAGGCGGGAAUGCAAGUUGAAUGUUUAAACUAUGGGCUCAACCCAUAGUCGCGUUCAAAACUGCAUUUCUUGAGUGGAGUAGAGGCAGGCGGAAUUCCUAGUGUAGCGGUGAAAUGCGUAGAUAUUAGGAGGAACACCAGUGGCGAAGGCGGCCUGCUGGGCUCUAACUGACGCUGAGGCUCGAAAGCGUGGGUAGCAAACAGGAUUAGAUACCCGGGUAC